rnacentral:rRNA from 1 species
GCGGUAAUUCCAGCUCCAAUAGCGUAUAUUAAAGUUGUUGCAGUUAAAAAGCUCGUAGUUGAAACUUGGGCCUGGCUGGCGGGUCCGCCUCACCGCGUGCACUCGUCCGGCCGGGCCUUCCUUCUGAAGAACCUCAUGCCCUUUACUGGGCGUGCUGGGGAAUCAGGACUUUUACUUUGAAAAAAUUAGAGUGUUCAAAGCAGGCCUUUGCUCGAAUACGUUAGCAUGGAAUAAUAAAAUAGGGCGUGCGUUUCUAUUUUGUUGGUUUCUAGAGACGCCGCAAUGAUUAACAGGAACAGUCGGGGGCAUCAGUAUUCCGUUGUCAGAGGUGAAAUUCUUGGAUUUACGGAAGACUAACUACUGCGAAAGCAUUUGCCAAGGAUGUUUUCAUUAAUCAGUGAACGAAAGUUAGGGGAUCGAAGACGAUCAGAUACCGUCGUAGUCUUAACCGUAAACUAUGCCGACUAGGGAUCGGGCGAUGUUCUUUUUCUGACUCGCUCGGCACCUUACGAGAAAUCAAAGUUUUUGGGUUCUGGGGGGAUUAUGGUCGCAAGGCUGAAACUUAAAGAAAUUGACGGAAGGUCACCACCAGGCGUGGAGCCUGCGGCUUAAUUUGACUCAACACGGGGAAACUCACCAGGUCCAGAUGAAAUAAGGAUUGACAGAUUGAGAGCUCUUUCUUGAUUUUUCAGGUGGUGGUGCAUGGCCGUUCUUAGUUCGUGGGGUGACUUGUCUGCUUAAUUGCGAUAACGAGCGAGACCUUACUCUGCUAAAUAGCCAGGCUAACUUUGGUUGGUCGCCGGCUUCUUAGAGAGACUAUCAACUCAAGUUGAUGGAAGUUUGAGGCAAUAACAGGUCUGUGAUGCCCUUAGAUGUUCUGGGCCGCACGCGCGCUACACUGACAGAGCCAACGAGUUCUUCACCUUGUUCGAAAGAAUUGGGUAAUCUUGUUAAACUCUGUCGUGCUGGGGAUAAAGCAUUGCAAUUAUUGCUUUUCAACGAGGAAUGCAUAGUAAGCGCGUGUCAUCAGCAUGCAUUGAUUACGUCCCUGACCUUUGUACACACCGCCCGUCGCUACUACCGAUUGAAUGGCUCAGUGAGGCCUUCGGACUGGCUCGAGGAGGUUGGCAACGACCACCUCAAGCCGG